rnacentral:rRNA from 1 species
AACGAACGCUGGCGGUAUGCCUAACACAUGCAAGUCGAACGGGACCUUCGUGAGUAGUGGCGCUUGCGUGCGUAACGCGUGGGAACCUGCCCGUAGGUUCCGAAUACCUCUCCGACAGGGGUGCUAAUACCGGAAAAUGUCCUCUGACCAAAGAUAUAUCGUCCUUGGAUGGGCCGGCGUUGUUUUGGCUUGUUGGUAGGGUAAAAGCCUACCAAGGCUACGAUCCCUAGCUGGUCUGAGGGGAUGAGCAGCCACACUGAGGCUGAGACGCGGUCCAGACUCCUAGGGGAGGCGGCAGAGGGUAAUAUAGGACAAUGGCGGAAAGACUGAUCCAGCACUGCCGGGUAAGCGCUGAGGGCCUUAGGGAUGAAAAGCUCGUUUAUCCGGGAUGGUAAUGACAGUACCGGGAGAAUAAGCACCGGCUAACUCCGUG